AGAACACUUUUCGAACCCAGAUGCUGGAACCCAGAAGAAACACAGCGGGAGGCGAACGUUGGCGGGCCGAUGUUGACGAAGGUGGAGACACUUGAUGAGGCAGAGGCUCGUGGUGGGACCGCAGGAGAGGACAGACUGAUGAGAACGGCUGGGAACUGAUUCGAGCGACCACUCGUGGUACUGGAUUCCUGAGGGGGCAACGGACUGGCGAAGACUGAUGAUCCUGUGGCUCCUUAUGAAGGC